rnacentral:rRNA from 1 species
UACGGAGGGUGCAAGCGUUACUCGGAAUCACUGGGCGUAAAGAGCGCGUAGGCGGGAUAGCAAGUCAGAUGUGAAAUCCUGCGGCUUAACCGCAGAACUGCAUUUGAAACUGUUGAUCUUGAGUACUGGAGAGGCAGACGGAAUUCCUAGUGUAGCGGUGAAAUGCGUAGAUAUUAGGAGGAACACCAGUGGCGAAGGCGGUCUGCUGGACAGCAACUGACGGUGAGGCGCGAAAGCGUGGGGAGCAAACAGG